rnacentral:rRNA from 1 species
CAAUAGCGUAUAUUAAAGUUGUUGCAGUUAAAAAGCUCGUAGUUGGAUUUCUGGUGGGAGCGAUCGGUCUGGCGCUUAGCGCGAGUACUUGCAUCGUCUCCGGCCAUCCUUGGGGAGAGUCUGUCUGGCAUUAGGUUGUCGGGCAGAGGAUCCUCAUCGUUUACUGUGAAAAAAUUAGAGUGUUCAAAGCAGGCUUAUGCCGUUGAAUAUAUUAGCAUGGAAUAAUAAGAUAGGACUUUGGUACUAUUUUGUUGGUUUGCGCACCAAAGUAAUGAUUAAUAGGGACAGUUGGGGGUAUUCGUAUUCCGUUGUCAGAGGUGAAAUUCUUGGAUUUACGAAAGACGAACUACUGCGAAAGCAUUUGCCAAGAAUGUUUUCAUUAA